rnacentral:lncRNA from 1 species
UUUAAUGAAAAUAAAAUGACAAUAAACCUCCAUUUAACCUUGAUUUUGAUCUGAUCAUUAAAAGUGGUGGUUACUACCACGAGAGCUUGUCCAACUCGUGUAGACCUUCUAAGAUGUACCUGAUUCUCAUCAAUAUUUGAUGGCUAAGUAGAAGGUCGCAUGUCAUUUUUAUGAUCCAUGAAAUCAGUGACCUUGUCAUUAGUUAAUUCCACCGCCGCACUGCCAUAACUUAAUAUGAUUCCUUCAUGAUUUCAGUUUGGUUGUGUAGUAGUUGACAUUUAGCUAUGGAUGAAGGGGAAGCAUGAUUGUUGGUCUUGGGAUGAAUUGGGUGUAAAUGUUUGUGACUAAAAAAAAGGGAUUUGUGGUUGGGAUGAAUUAGGUGUAAAUAUUUGUGAUUGAAAAAAAGGGAUUUGUGGUUGGG